rnacentral:lncRNA from 1 species
CUAAGAAUAGUUUCACCAAUAGGAGACGCACUUCCUAAGCUAAGUAUCACCAAUAGGAGACGCACUUCCUAAGAAUAGUUUCACCAAGAGGAGACGCACUUCCUAAGAAUAGUUUCACCAAGAGGAGACGCACAUCCUAAGUUAGUCCUAAGAUAAGUUUCACCAAGAGGAGACGCACUUCCUAAGAAUAGUUUCACCUAUAGGAGACGCACUUCCUAAGAAUAGUUUCACCAGUAGGAGACGCACUUCCUAAGCCAAGUUUUACCAAUAGGAGACGCACUUCCUAAGAAUAGUUCACCAAUAGGAGAUGCACUUCCUAAGUUUAGUUGUACCAAUAGGAGACGCACUUCCUAAGUUAUUUCACCCAAUAGGAGACGCACAUCCUAAGUUAUUUCACCCAAUAGGAGAUGCACUUCCUAAGUUAGUUUUACCCAAUAGGAGACGCACUUCCUAAGAAAAGUUUCACCAAUAGGAGACGCACUUCCUAAGUUUAUUUCACCAAUAGGAGACGCACUUCCUAAGUUUAUUUCACCAACAGGAGACGCACUU